rnacentral:rRNA from 1 species
GUAGGUGGCAAGCGUUGUCCGGAAUUAUUGGGCGUAAAGCGCGCGCAGGUGGUUCUUUAAGUCUGAUGUGAAAGCCCCCGGCUCAACCGGGGAGGGUCGUUGGAAACUGGGGAACUUGAGUGCAGGAGAGGAAAGUGGAAUUCCACGUGUAGCGGUGAAAUGCGUAGAUAUGUGGAGGAACACCAGUGGCGAAGGCGACUUUCUGGCCUGUAACUGACACUGAGGCGCGAAAGCGUGGGGAGCAAACAGGAUUAGAUACCCUGGUAGUCCACGCCGUAAACGAUGAGUGCUAAGUGUUGGGGGGGUUUCCCGCACCUCAGUGCUGCAGCUAACGCAUUAAGCACUCCGCCUGGGGAUACGGUCGCAAGACUG